GCUUUAAAUUGAUUAUAAAUUUUUAUUAUUAAUAUUUUAAUUUAGUUUAUUUUAAAAC
rnacentral:tRNA from 1 species